GAUGCUGGCUUUUUAUAGCUGUGUUUCACGCGUUUAACUCCAGGUGAAACUACCCCGAGUUGAUUAAAGUAACUCAAUCGCUGUUGUGAAACUCAGAGUUUUCUAUCUCAGAGUAGAUCAACUCAGAUUUUAGGAUUAGACUCAGAGUUUGUUGAACCUGCUUUUGAAACGGACCCCUGAACAACUGCAGCCAUGGGUACACACCCAUUUCUUUAUGAACUGAAACCCAUGAGUAUUCUGGAAAUAGAGCUUGUUCUGUCACCUUAGAUCCGUCAUCUAAAGUUGCUGUUUGAUUAUUUUCAUACAUUAAAAAACAACUAUGCCAGUCAAACAAGAACAGAACUAUAACUAAUGCUGUGGUAGAAUAUAACUAUAUCAUCUGAUAUAGAAACUGAAUGUCAUAGAAAUAUAGAGCACCUUAAUCCAGCUAAAGCUAUCUGUUAUCAUCCGACUUGGUUCUCAGCCACGGGAGCCGCAAAGCUGUUCACGGCGGGAGGUCCGAUUUGCCACUUUUGCCGAUGUGAAAGCACCAAAGGCAAGUCGACCUUGGUCGACCCGGGAUUUUCGAUGUGAAAGCAGUCUACCAGUUGGGGUCUGAGGUGCAAUAAAUAUAUAUAUAUAUAUAAAAAAAGUUAUGUGUAAGUAUGUGUCUAUACAGUUCUACUCCAUGCAACUGGCUUGUGGAACCUACUAAGAAAAAAAUUAUUAGACAUAUUUAAACUAAAAAAAAAUAGAUAAAUAAAAAAAUAGUAAUUCUGAGUAAUGCAAUAGUUACUUUCUCUGGUAACUAGUUACUUUUAUAGCGGAGUAAUUCAGUUAUUAACUUAGUUACUUUUGGGGAGAAGUAACUAGUAACUAUAACUAAAUACUUUUUAAAAGUAACGUGCCCCACACUUGUAAGCAAUCACAAAAUUCUAAUCUUGUGUUUGAGAUAUAAACAGGGCAACAGUACCCAGAGGAUCUUUUGGUCUAGUUCACUUUGCAGGCAGGUCCUAUUUAAUUCAUUUUUGAUUGAGAACAGGUGUGGCAGUAAUCAGGCCUGGGUGCUAGAGAGAUUGAACUAAGAUGUGAUGAACCACAGUUAAGUUAGAUUUUAACAGGAAACACAUUUCCACACAGUGCCAUACAUGUUUGGAUUUAUUUUCUCCUUAAAAACAAAAACCUUAAUUUAAAAACUGUGUUAUAUGUUUACUUGUGUUAUCUUUUUUUCUUAAAUUAAGUAUGUUUGAUAAUCUGAAACAUUUAGGUGUGACAAACAUGAAAUCAGGAAAGGGGCAAACCCUUUUGCACACCACGGUACAGUAUAUGAGGUUUCAUACACUGAUCAGUGACAACAUUAUGACCACUGACAAGAGAAGUAAACCAUGUUCAUCUUUUGGACCUGGCAUUCAAGUGGAUGCACCAUAUCAGGUGGUCAUAAUGUUAUGCCAGAUUGGUGUAUCUAAGAUUAAUAAUCAUUGGAAGUUUAUCUAUCAAGUAUAUUUAAAUACAACCAGUUGACAUAAGAUUUAAAAACUACAAGGAAUGAUGUGAAGAAAAAAAAGAAAACAAAAAAAUAGUUAUUAUGCAAAAUAUUCCCAUUGGUGUAACUGUUUCCUUGCACCCUGGGCUCUAAUAUUGAUUUUUGACUAAAUAAAUGGAAUUGAUUUACUUGGCAUUAACGCACAGUUCUUAAAGUGUCUGUACUGUACCAUUGUUAAUUCUAACCGUAAUAUUUUAAGUCCUUUAUAAGUUUUUUUUUUCCCCUUAAGUGGCGAUUUAGAAACAAGAUGAUCUUACAAGCUUUUAACCAGCAGACAUCUGUUAUUCAAGAUAACCACAUGUGGCUCCAUCAGCAUGACAAUAUAGGAUGGAUUCCCAACAGGGCGCAUUCAUAAGGAAGAAAUAAGAGGACCAUGACAACUGCAUGUACAAAAGAGAAUACAAUAAGCAUCAAUAGUGUACUACAUAAAUAUGUCUACAAAAUGACAUAUUACACGUGUGUCUGCUUUUGCAGUAGUUUAACAACAAACUGAGGAAACCUGCAUCUCAAACCUGCACGUGUACCUGCACGUACAAAAGUUAAUAAACUCAGUAUCCACACAAAAUUAAAAAAAAUAAAUAAAAAAAUGAUCCAACCAACAACA